UCUGAGACAAGAUUCCGGGCCCUACGGGGCGCAGCAGGCGCGAAACCUUUACACUGUACGAAAGUGCGAUAAGGGGACUCCGAGUGUGAAGGCAUAGAGCCUUCACUUUUGUACACCGUAAGGUGGUGUACGAAUAAGGACUGGGCAAGACCGGUGCCAGCCGCCGCGGUAAUACCGGCAGUCCGAGUGAUGGCCGAUAUUAUUGGGCCUAAAGCGUCCGUAGCUGGCUGAACAAGUCCGUUGGGAAAUCUGUCCGCUUAACGGGCAGGCGUCCAGCGGAAACUGUUCAGCUUGGGACCGGAAGACCUGAGGGGUACGUCUGGGGUAGGAGUGAAAUCCUGUAAUCCUGGACGGACCGCCGGUGGCGAAAGCGCCUCAGGAGAACGGAUCCGACAGUGAGGGACGAAAGCUAGGGUCUCGAACCGGAUUAGAUACCCGGGUAGUCCUAGCUGUAAACGAUGUCCGCUAGGUGUGGCGCAGGCUACGAGCCUGCGCUGUGCCGUAGGGAAGCCGAGAAGCGGACCGCCUGGGAAGUACGUCUGC
rnacentral:rRNA from 1 species